rnacentral:rRNA from 1 species
GCGGGCUCUAACAUAGCCUGCUAAUGACGGUACCUGAAGAAGAAGCACCGGCUAACUACGUGCCAGCAGCCGCGGUAAUACGUAGGGUGCGAGCGUUAAUCGGAAUUACUGGGCGUAAAGCGUGCGCAGGCGGUUUUGUAAGACAGAUGUGAAAUCCCCGGGCUUAACCUGGGAACUGCGUUUGUGACUGCAAGACUUGAGUGCGGCAGAGGGGGUGGAAUUCCACGUGUAGCAGUGAAAUGCGUAGAGAUGUGGAGGAACACCGAUGGCGAAGGCAGCCCCCUGGGUCGACACUGACGCUCAUGCACGAAAGCGUGGGUAGCAAACAGGAUUAGAUACCCUGGUAGUCCACGCCCUAAACGAUGCCAACUAGGUGUUGGGGAAGGAGACUUCCUUAGUACCGUAGCUAACGCGUGAAGUUGGCCGCCUGGGGAGUACGGUCGCAAGAUUAAAACUCAAAGGAAUUGAC